AACAGCACAGCUCUCUGCUUUCAUCUCUGUGACCACAAGCUGAUGGGCCCAAGGAAUCUGCUGCCUGACACACCUUGAAGGAAGAAUCUCUUUGAAGGUCCAUCAGUGAAGAAAGCUGUGGCAAUUCUUAUCAUGGCUGGACCUCAUUUCCAAGGCAAGAGAAACUCCAGUGAAAAUUCAAGAUCCAUCAAGAUCAUUGGGCUUGUUUCAUAAGGUGCACCAAGAUAUUUCACCAAGAGAGCAAACAGCUGAUAAAAGGUAAGGAAUGAAUUUGGCCAGGUUACUGCAAUAGUAGAAAAAGAUUAAACAGAUGACAGAACUG
rnacentral:lncRNA from 1 species